rnacentral:lncRNA from 1 species
AUAUUAGAUUACAAUGUCAGUCAACAGAGCUAAAAGUCCCAAGCAGCCUCCAUAAAUCCGCUCCGCAAAGCUGCAUAAACGCCCGGCGAAUUACAUCCGAGUACGUUAUCUCCAAUUAAAACGACGUUUACGGUUAGCCGCUUUGCUGCGACUGCGAAAUACGCGUCCCUUCUUUCCUUCGCUCGGAUCGAAAAACAACCGUUAUUUCCUCGAUUGCAGGCGAUCCGACUGCCUUUAGUGAAAGAAGUCACAAGCGCGAGCUGCCGUCUGUGCCCUGCGUUAGUUCCUGCUGUUUUUCUUGACCCUGUAAAGACUGCACCCCUAGCAGCGCUGCCAUCUUAGCUUCAUCAUCCUUCCCUGUUCAUGUCGCUGACUGUCAAGCAUGCUGGGAUACAUUCCCAUCCGUAGCACACACCGGCUGUGAUUCAAAACGCAGUGCGCGGCCUACCUAGUCUCUAUUUGGGCGCGCGAGCGUCGACUUUGAAUGCGCCUAGAGUGCUGUGUUGUUAGUGGACUCGGCAGAUUUUUAAACGCGCCGCGUCAGAUGCAGAUCCCGCCUUCUCGCACGCCACGAUUGGUCGAUUAUCUACAAUGCCUGCACGCCAUUGGUCGAACUACUUUUCAGUCAUUACUUUCAGCAAGUAUGAAGACAAUAGGAAAACAAAGACAAAAUCUGGGCACUUUGGGCAAUUUAGAAAUAUCCUGGAAAAGACGAUAUAUGAUCAGUUGUUUAUUUUUUUUAAGGCAAGUGUUCACAGUUACUUUAUUUUAGACAUAAACUUUUCAUUUGUUACUGCCUAUUCUCAUUGAAUGAAACAACUAACUUAAUACAAAAGUUAACUUAUCUAACCAUCCUACAACCAAACCACAAGUUCCACAAAACAUUCUUUUAAAUGUCCAGCUGAACUUUAAACAUGGGGUUGCCUUUACACAAAAACACAUUUAAUAGCACUUAAUUUCAACAUUUACUCUCCCAAAUGAGUCCUAUGGAAAGCAUGCUGGGAAUUAAAACUUGCCAUGCCGUUUCAUUUAUAGAAACAAAAAAGAUUUAAACUUCAUUUUCAAAUAUAUGAGUGAACUGAACACAAUUAAAUUAAGUUGUAGUAAUAAAAUGUUAUUUUAUUAAUUAUGUUACAAGUAACAUAUGGCAAUUAUGUUACUUGUCUUACAAAAUUGAACAAGCAGAUAAAAGAACCUUAUUUAAACCUUAGAUGCACAAUGUUUCCUGUUAAAUAAAUACAAUCAUUGUAUUCUCAGUCCAAACCUUGUAUUUGCAAACAUUAAUAUUUGCAUUAAAAUGAUGAGGCAUGUUUGAUGUAACAUAUAAGCAGCUUCUUCCUCAUCGAAUGUCACCGAGUUUGAUUGUCUUUUGCAUAUUACACACUUUAAAACUAUUGAGAAAGGGUGUGAUUAACACGAACCGCAGUGUCACACCCCACAGACAUACUCUUCAUAUUUUCUGUCAGACAUAGCCUACUUUAUACCUCUCGCAAUAAAGCACAAACCUAACAAGCCGCAUGCUUCUGCAGCAACACCCCUGUUCGUUUAGAACAACCAAAAAUAUGUUUUCUGGCUCAGAGGGUUUCAUCUUUUGAGGUUCAGAGCUGUAUUAUUAUAUAAUGUAUUAUCACCAAGCCUUCACCAUGUAACUUUGAGUUCAGCCUG